ensembl:snoRNA
UUGCACAGUGAACACCCAAGUGUGCUUUAUAGUUCUCUUGGCGUUGACUCUGUGCUAGAGUAAAGUCUGUUCUUUUCCUCUGCAUUGAAAGGAAUACUGUCCUUUUUAAUGUAUUCAGAAAAUGAGCACAUCA